UACGUAGGGGGGCAAGCGUUGUCCGGAUUUACUGGGCGUAAAGCGCGUGUAGGCGGUUCGGUAAGUCCGCUGUGAAAGUCGGGGGGCUCAACCCUCGAAUGCCGGUGGAUACUGUCGGACUAGAGUACGGAAGAGGCGAGUGGAAUUCCUGGUGUAGCGGUGAAAUGCGCAGAUAUCAGGAGGAACACCAAUUGCGAAGGCAGCUCGCUGGGACGUUACUGACGCUGAGACGCGAAAGCGUGGGGAGCAAACAGG
rnacentral:rRNA from 1 species